rnacentral:lncRNA from 1 species
AUUCAGCCACUGUUUAAAAAAAAAUUUCAGAAACCUCUCCUUUCCUCUCCAAAAAUGGCCGGCCUUUGGGUAGCCAUAACGCCGCCACGCCACCGGUGCGCCCGCCGCACCGCCACCGUCUCCGACGGCCGACGAAGAUCGGCUUUUGAAGCCCUAUUUCCGGUAAGUUUUUCUUUUUCUAUCCCUUUUUUAUAUUUUUAUACAUGAAAUAAAAUAAAACAAAAUAAAAGAUUGAAAUCGAAGAAAGAAAAAGAAAGAAUAAUAAAGAAAAUAAAAAAAAUCACAAUCACCUUGAAACGUUGUUUUCUUUUAUUUCUUUUAAAACUUUUGUACAAAAAUUCAAAAAAAAAAAAGGCCCCCAUUACACAUCUGUUGAAUGGCUUUAUAUAGCCUUUUUCAUUACAAAUCCCCCCACUUGCUACUGCUAUGGUUUUUCUUUAUUGUUUGUAGGUGAAGCAGGUGGCGACGUGACGUGCAGCUUGGCGCGGCGGUGGCAGGAGGUCAGGGGUCAGAAGACCCUAGACCCUUUUUUUUUUGCUUUGGGUCGUUUGGGCCAUGGGAAAUUGGGCUAGACAUUGGGCUUUGGCAUGUAAUUGGGGUUUGGGUUGUAUUUGGGUUUGCCUGGGCCUUGUAAUUGGGCCUGCCUGGGCCCAGGGCGAAAUUGGGCUGUACACUGUUAUUAUGGGACUGAACCAAUUUAAAGAAUAAAAGUAGACAUGUCUUAAAUUGAUAACAUACAAUUAUAUCCUACUAUUUUCUAGAGCAUACAUAACUUUAGAUAUUUUUUUCUUCUAUAUACUUAUGGAAGGUUUGAACAUGGG